rnacentral:rRNA from 1 species
GUGGUGUCACAAAAUCGGAGGCCACGACUGUUUACUAAAAACACAAUUCAGAGCAAUGAUGAAAAUCAUAGUAUUCUGGAUGAAAUUUGCCCGAUGCCAUUAACAUAAAAGAGGUAAUGGGUAACUGUUACUAAUUGAAAGUCUGGUUAAUAGCGGUCUUAACUAUGAGGAUCCUAAGGUAGCAAAAUCAGUUGGCCAUUAAAUGUGGUCUGGUAUCAAUAGUGUAACGAUGGUCUCACUGUCUCUACAACUUGCUCAGUGAAAUUGAAUUAUCCGUGCAGAUGCGGAUUGCCUCCAGGNGGACGGG